UACGGGGGGGGCAAGCGUUGUUCGGAAUUACUGGGCGUAAAGGGCUCGUAGGCGGCUAACUAAGUCGGACGUGAAAUCCCCAGGCUCAACCUGGGAACUGCGUCCGAUACUGGAUGGCUUGAAUCCGGGAGAGGGAUGCAGAAUUCCAGGUGUAGCGGUGAAAUGCGUAGAUAUCUGGAGGAAUACCGGUGGCGAAGGCGGCAUCCUGGACCGGCAUUGACGCUGAGGAGCGAAAGCCAGGGGAGCAAACGGG
rnacentral:rRNA from 1 species